UUUUUUGACUUUUGCUUUUUGCCACUAAAGUUUGCUUCUUUGAUUUACCCCCUCAACACUCAUUCCCAAAACACACACGAUCAUCCUUUAUCAUCUCUGCAACCCAAUUCUUCUCAAAACCCUAACACCAAACUCAUCAUCACUGCUCCACCAUCCAUCUCCGGCACCACCAUAUAUUCCAGAAGGGUGAAAUAUGUGUGCCGGCCAUGGUGAAUCUACAAAUCAAAACUUGAAGUCAGGCACUCCGGUCAUCGAUCUCAACAACUUCGACAAUGAUUCAUCCACUUCCGGCGACCGAUUUAGCCAGAAGACACACAGUACCCCAUACUCCAUACUCCAACCACAACAACCACAGCCAGCAACGAGUUCGAGUGAGGACCGCGCAACGGCUAGGGUUUCACGGGAUCAACAAGUAAUGGAGGUGGUAGCUACGAUUAUGUUGGUUAUUGUUCCUAUUGAAGCAUCUACAUUAAAGCAACUUUGCAGGUUCUGCCAGUUUACGUUUUGUACGAUACGAUCACAGAAUUAAAGGUAUGUUUUUUGAUAUUACACUGAUCAAUUACGGCCGUUUGUACUUGAAUUCAGCUCAUAUUUGGAAUUGUGAUGUAGUUUCUUGUGGUUUAUUAUCGCAAUUAUGAGUUUGUGAUGCAAUUUUUGUGGUUUAUUAUUGCGAUUCUGAGUUUGUGAUGCAGAUUGGUUGUUUAUAUUGCAAGUCUGAAUUUUUAGUGAUUUUAAACAUAAUUGUGAAUCAAUGUCUGGACCGCUUGAUCAAUUUGCAAGCUCUCAUGUAUUUGAUGUUCAUGGGCUUUUGAGGGGUGACAAGGCAAAGAUGAGAGACCAGAGAGAAGAAAAAGAUAGUUUGAUUUUGAAUACUCGAGAGAUGAAAGGAGAAUAAUAACUGAUUCAUUGAGAAAGGAAAGCACUAAAUGCAUCUACUUAAUUCAAACAUUCUGCUAAGAAAAAGAGCAAUAAAAGAAAAAGUGAUGGGCGAGUCAAUUCUGUUUUAAUUGGGGAUGUUAGAGAUGCAGAGGAGUACGUGUUUUUGAUGCGUUCAGACAAGCGUUCAUCUUGGAGGAAUUGCUACAUGAGAAAAUUGAUCAUUAUCAUAUGAUUUUGAGGUAGGAAACAAUGAAUUGAUAAAGUGUGUUUUGCAUUUUCUGGGGAACAAAGAGCUUUUGAUUAACUUUUGGUUGAACUUCAUGCUUUUAAUCGAAUUGAUUUGGGGAACAUAAUACAACAGAGCAGAAUGCCAAAAUACAGAGCACGACUAGAUCAAUCCAAAUUUUCAGAACACGCAGAUCUUCACCACAUGCCGCUAGCACCACCACCCCUACACCACCACCGCAAACUCCACCAUACUCAAGAUCUAGAAGAUGCAUCUUAGGAGCCACUAGAAAAACGAGCCGGGUCGUCGCCGUUUUGGAAGAUGCAAACGAGGAGCAGCCAUUUUGGAAGAUCAAGAUCUGGAAAACGAGUCACUGUUUUGGAAGAUGCAAACUAGGAGCAACAAUUUUUGGGUCGGAGUAUAAUUCGGAUCUCAAAAUUUGGGGGUUAAAGAAAUUUGGGGGUACAAACGAGGAGCAGCCAAAGUGAUUAUUUGUGGUGUCUUAUUGUGUGUGUAUACAAGCAACAUAAAGGUUUUAAUUAUUGGAAGAUUGAGAAAAGUGCAUCUUUGAAUUUUAUAUCUCACAUUGAUUUAUAUCUCAAUUCUCAAAUAUUUGUGA